rnacentral:ncRNA from 1 species
AUCACCGCAGGGCAAACCGGUCGAAAGACCGGGACGCAAAGCUUCCGGCCUAACAGAGGUUUUCCUCUCAUGGUAGCGGGGCCGCCUUC